CCUACGGGAGGCAGCAGUGGGGAAUAUUGGACAAUGGGGGGAACCCUGAUCCAGCCAUGCCGCGUGUGUGAAGAAGGCCCUCGGGUUGUAAAGCACUUUCAGUGAGGAAGAACGCCUGGUGGUUAAUACCCAUCAGGAAAGACAUCACUCACAGAAGAAGCACCGGCUAACUCCGUGCCAGCAGCCGCGGUAAUACGGAGGGUGCGAGCGUUAAUCGGAAUUACUGGGCGUAAAGCGCGCGUAGGUGGCUUGAUAAGCCGGUUGUGAAAGCCCCGGGCUCAACCUGGGAACGGCAUCCGGAACUGUCAAGCUAGAGUGCAGGAGAGGAAGGUAGAAUUCCCGGUGUAGCGGUGAAAUGCGUAGAGAUCGGGAGGAAUACCAGUGGCGUAGGCGGCCUUCUGGACUGACACUGACACUGAGGUGCGAAAGCGUGGGUAGCAAACAGGAUUAGAUACCCCAGUAGUC
rnacentral:rRNA from 1 species